CCUACGGGAGGCAGCAGUGAGGAAUAUUGGUCAAUGGACGCAAGUCUGAACCAGCAAUGCCGCGUGCAGGAAGACGGCUCUCUGAGUGUAAAACUGCUUUUGUACGAGGGUAAACGCAGAUACGCGUCUCUGUCUGAACGUAUCGUACGAAUAAGGAUCGGCUAACUCCGUGCCGGCCGCCGCGGCAAUACGGAGGAUUCAUGCGUUAUCCGGAUUUAGUGGGUUUAAAGGGUGCCAAGGCGGAGGUGCAAGUCAGCGGUAAAAUUGCGGGGCUCAACCCCGUACUGCCGUUGAAACUGCAUCCCUUGAGUGCGCGAGAGGUACGCGGAAUGCGUGGUGUAGCGGUGAAAUGCAUAGAUAUCACGCAGAACUCCGAUUGCGAAGGCAGCAUACCGGCGCGCAACUGACGCUCAUGCACGAAAGCGUGGGUAUCGAACAGGAUUAGAUACCCUUGUAGUC
rnacentral:rRNA from 1 species